UACGUAGGGGGCAAGCGUUGUCCGGAAUCAUUGGGCGUAAAGAGCGCGUAGGCGGCCCGAUAAGUCCGCUGUGAAAGUCAAGGGCUCAACCCUUGAAUGCCGGUGGAUACUGUCGGGCUAGAGUCCGGAAGAGGCGAGUGGAAUUCCUGGUGUAGCGGUGAAAUGCGCAGAUAUCAGGAGGAACACCAAUGGCGAAGGCAGCUCGCUGGGACGGUACUGACGCUGAGGCGCGAAAGUGUGGGGAGCGAACAGG
rnacentral:rRNA from 1 species